CAAGACAUGAAGUUAGGCCAGCAAACCUGCUGAAUUUAAGCAUAUAAGUAAGCGGAGGAGAAGAAACUAAAUAGGAUUCCUUCAGUAAUGGCGAAUGAACAGGGAUCGGCUCAGCAUGGAAAUUGGGGCCCCUGGCCCUGAAUUGUAGUCUCAAGAUGUACUGCCAACGGAGGCGCAGAUGUAAGCCUCAUGGAAAAGAGCAUCAGCGAG
rnacentral:rRNA from 1 species